GCGAGGAUGGCGGAACUGGCAGACGCGCUGGAUUUAGGUUCCAGUACUUCGGUGUGGGGGUUCGAGCCCCCCUCCUCGCA
rnacentral:tRNA from 1 species